rnacentral:rRNA from 1 species
CUAAUCCCUUAAAGCCAUUCUCAGUUCGGAUUGUAGGCUGAAACUCGCCUACAUGAAGCUGGAGUUACUAGUAAUCGCAGAUCAGGAUGCUGCGGUGAAUGCGUUCCCGGGUCUCGUACACACCGCCCGUCACACCACGGAAGUUGGGGGCGCCCGAAGCCACUUAGCUAACCCUUUGGGAAGCGAGUGUCGAAGGUGAAAUCAAUAACUGGGGUGAAGUCGUAACAAGGUAUC